GACGAACGCUGGCGGCGUGCCUAAUACAUGCAAGUCGAGCGGACAGACGGGAGCUUGCUCCCUGAUGUUAGCGGCGGACGGGUGAGUAACACGUGGGUAACCUGCCUGUAAGACUGGGAUAACUCCGGGAAACCGGGGCUAAUACCGGAUGGUUGUCUGAACCGCAUGGUUCAGACAUAAAAGGUGGCUUCGGCUACCACUUACAGAUGGACCCGCGGCGCAUUAGCUAGUUGGUGAGGUAACGGCUCACCAAGGCAACGAUGCGUAGCCGACCUGAGAGGGUGAUCGGCCACACUGGGACUGAGACACGGCCCAGACUCCUACGGGAGGCAGCAGUAGGGAAUCUUCCGCAAUGGACGGAAGUCUGACGGAGCAACGCCGCGUGGGUGAUGAAGGUUUUCGGAUCGUAAAGCUCUGUUGUUAGGGAAGAACAAGUGCCGUUCAAAUAGGGCGGCACCUUGACGGUACCUAACCAGAAAGCCACGGCUAACUACGUG
rnacentral:rRNA from 1 species